CAGGAGCGUCUGCCAACAGUGCCUUUAUCAGGAAUGUACAACAAAUCUGGCGGAAAAGUACGACUCACAUUUAAACUGGAGCAGGAUCAGUUGUGGAUCGGAACAAAAGAAAGAACAGAAAAAAUCCCGAUGGGUUCCAUCAAAAAUGUUGUGACUGAGCCAAUAGAGGGUCAUGAGGACUAUCAUAUGAUGGCAUUUCAGCUGGGUCCGACAGAAGCCUCACAAUAUUGGGUCUACUGGGUGCCUGCACAGUUUGUUGAUGCAAUCAAAGACACAGUUCUCGGAAAAUGGCAGUAUUUUUAACGUGCCUCUAUAGACACUGAAGAAUUGGGAUUCAGAGCAAAAGAUUGAUAACAUUAACUGGAGCCAACACAAUAAUCUGAAGAACCGAUUUUUCUGAAGUAUUUCCAGAGCAAACCGAAGGAUUGCUGUUGGACAAAAUAUUUUGGGGGUUUUAAGUGCACUAAGUGUCAGCAUCCCGUUUUUCAAACUGUUUCAUCACUCGUUUUUUUUUUGUUGUUUUUUUUAAAGCAAUCCCAAGCAUAAACAGAAAAUUGUACAGAACUUGCAUAUACAUUUCUCGUAGUUAUUCUGAAAGAAAUAAAAAUUAUUUAAGGAAAAUGAUUGAUGCAGUAGAAAGAUUUUAUCUAGUAUAUUCCUUGGUUUACCAUACAACUCAAGCAAUCUUGCCAAAGUCGAUAUAGUUCACGCCGUUGUUAGUUUUACAGUCAGCUUUUAUGAUUGCACAGAUUAUAGUUUACAUGUAAAGCAGCAGCAAUGUAACACUCAAAUAUGGUAUUAAUCAAGGUUAAAAGAGCAUUGUGGCAUU